UCCCUUGUGUCUCAGCUUGUAAAGAAUCUGCCUGCAAUGCAGGAGACCUGGGUUCAACCCCUAGGUUGGGAA
rnacentral:tRNA from 1 species